rnacentral:rRNA from 1 species
AGUGAACGCUGGCGGUAGGCCUAACACAUGCAAGUCGAACGGCAGCACAGUAAGAGCUUGCUCUUACGGGUGGCGAGUGGCGGACGGGUGAGGAAUACAUCGGAAUCUACUUUUUCGUGGGGGAUAACGGAGGGAAACUGACGCUAAUACCGCAUACGACCUACGGGUGAAAGCAGGGGAGCUUCGGACCUUGCGCGAUUGAAUGAGCCGAUGUCGGAUUAGCUAGUUGGCGGGGUAAAGGCCCACCAAGGCGACGAUCCGUAGCUGGUCUGAGAGGAUGAUCAGCCACACUGGAACUGAGACACGGUCCAGACUCCUACGGGAGGCAGCAGUGGGGAAUAUUGGACAAAGGGCGCAAGCCUGAUCCAGCCAUACCGCGUGGGUGAAGAAGGCCUUCGGGUUGUAAAGCCCUUUUGUUGGGAAAGAAAAGCAGCAGGUUAAUCCCCCGCUGUUCUGACGGUACCCAAAGAAUAAGCACCGGCUAACUUCGUG